rnacentral:misc_RNA from 1 species
UACUGUUUAUCGUCUUACAGGCUCAGUCUGGACGAAAGGCAGAUAGCGCGUUCUAAGGUUGGAGAGCGGCAUCAUUCGCACCAGUCUGUCUCCGUUUUCGGGUGGGUCCUGUACUACUUGUGAAGAAGCGUGACGGAUCUGAUCGUGUAGUGGUGGACUGUCGCAAACUGGGCUCUGGCUUGGUGCCCUUGCCCUUGAUAAACACGUCCGUGAGAAACACGAGCGAUAUGAAUUUAACUCUGGCGGAGGUCGUGGUGUAUG